AUCCACCUGUUCCCAUGCCGAACACAGUAGUUAAGCCUUCAUACGCCGAAAGUACUCGACUGGAAACGGUCCGGGAGGAUAGGAAGCUGCCGGUU
rnacentral:rRNA from 1 species